AUAGUACUCCCUCCGUUCGGAAUUACUUGUCGUAGAAAUGGAUGUAUCUAGAACUAAAAAAUGUCUAGAUACAUCCAUUUCUGUGACAAGUAAUUCAGAACGGAGUGAGUAUUUG
rnacentral:pre_miRNA from 1 species